GUACCCUGCAAAGAAGCAGAACAGAAAUUGCGAUCGAAUCGAGUUCCAGAAUGUAUAGAAAAGCUAUAUCAAAUCACGCUAACUCGAUUGACGUUACUAUUUGGAGUAAAUCAGCAAAGCUGGUUUCAAGAGGGUAGGCUGAAGUUGCAGGUUUCUUCAACUCGUCGGAACUUUAGGUGUCCCCUGAGCUGCCAGUAUUCCUUCAGCACUUCCCAAGUAACGCAGAAAGUUUACCUCUAGGAAGAGCACCGGGAGGUCACCCCUGCUCCGAGCCUCCGGGAGGGUAUGAAGCUCCAAGACACUGGUGAGGAAAGCCACUCUUCCCCCUCUGGAACAAGCCAACCAUGUCCCUCCUGCCACCUCAUCUCUCCCUCCCAGUAUCUCGCUCUCUUCCCACCAUCCCACUGGUUUCGUUGGCCUUCCCAAAAAAAAAAACUCAAACUUGAUGAGCACUUCAUGAUUUCAGAAGAAGAAGAAGAAGAAGAAGAGCGGAUGAGAAGAAGGAGAAGACAGCUUGCCUGUCAUGGUAUUCAUCUCUGUUCUGCAGGAGGAUCAAAGCGUAGAGAGGGUGAGAGAGCCAGACGAAAGCUGCUAUACACAUUGUUCCCUUGAAGACCGGCCUCUAUUCCUCUGUUCUCAGACUUCUUUCACUUUUGUAGGUAAUUAUUAUGGAGCAAUCAGGAAUGGACUGGUCGUGUCUGAACUCUGAAAGGGUGCAUGAAGUUCUUCUUUGCUUUAACUCUUGUAAGUCCCCUGUUCUUCCAUCUCUUAUAUAUACACAUUACAUGUUUUUAAUGCAUAUAUAUAUGACAAGAUGGUGCGUCAAUUAUUAAAUUAUGUUCGGCUGGAUGGAUAUGAAAGAGCAGUGGGACCGCUUCCACUUGUCGUCUCUUUGUUCCAGAAGCUGUGUUCUCUUUCUCUUGUUUUUGGCCAUUUUAUUAUGUGCUUAAAACCUGCGUGCUCAGGUCGAAGUGGAUAGCAACGAAUGAAUAAAAUAAUAAUAAUAAUAAUAAUAAUAAAUAAAUAAAAUCCACUCCUUCGGGGAUCUUUAUGUGUGGCCUCCUCUAAUCCUCUGAUGCUGGCUGUCAACUCAUGCUUUAACCCAUAUUUUCGAGUCUGGUUUUUAUACAUACAACAAUGUAAUGCCCCGUUUAUUCAUUUCCCCCGCGGUACAAAAUUAUAGUCGGAUUAACUUCACAUGCCAUGAUAAGGUCGUGAAAAUCCAAUGGAAUAUGAUAUUGAUAUGUAUGGACGGGACCUUGUCUUUUGGCUAUAGAGAGAUAUCGAUUAUUGUAAUGACAAUCGAUAGAAGACUGACGUUCUAUUUUUUUAUUUUUUUUUAUUUUACCCAUAUGGGCGUAAGAAAAGGAUUUCUUGUAGAAGAUGUCAGUAAUAAAUAAAGGUAUGCUAACUUGACUUUUUCUUAA